rnacentral:rRNA from 1 species
UACGUAGGUGGCAAGCGUUGUCCGGAUUUACUGGGCGUAAAGCGCCCGCAGGCGGCCUGUUAAGUUCGAGGUGAAAUCUCCCGGCUCAACUGGGAGGGUGCCUCGAAAACUGGCAGGCUUGAGGCAGGGAGAGGGAUGCAGAAUUCCCGGUGUAGCGGUGAAAUGCGUAGAUAUCGGGAGGAAUACCAGUGGCGAAGGCGGCAUCCUGGCCCUGUCCUGACGCUCAGGGGCGAAAGCGUGGGGAGCAAACCGG